rnacentral:rRNA from 1 species
UAUUGGGUUAAAGGGUGCGCAGGCGGAAAUGGUAAGUCAGUGGUGAAAUCUCCCGGCUCAACCGGGAAACUGCCGUUGAUACUGCCGUUCUAGAGUACAGUUGGGGUGGGCGGAAUGUGUCAUGUAGCGGUGAAAUGCUUAGAUAUGACACAGAACACCGAUCGCGAAGGCAGCCCACCAAGUUGUAACUGACGCUCAUGCACGAAAGCGUGGGGAUCAAACAGGAUUAGAUACCCUGGUAGUCCACGCCGUAAACGAUGAUCACUCGUUGUUGGCGAUACACAGUCAGCGACUGAGCGAAAGCAUUAAGUGAUCCACCUGGGGAGUACGACCGCAAGGUUGAAACUCAAAGGAAUUGACGGGGGCCCGCACAAGCAGCGGAGCGUGUGGUUUAAUUCGAUGUUACACGAAGAACCUUACCCGGGUUUGACAUGCAAGUGGUAGGGAAGCGAAAGUGGACCGACCCUUCGGGGAGCUUGCACAGGUGCUGCAUGGCUGUCGUCAGCUCGUGUCGUGAGAUGUCCGGUUAAGUCCGGUAACGAGCGCAACCCCUACGGUAUGUUACAUGUGUCAUACAGGACUGCCGGUAUCAAGCCGGAGGAAGGUGGGGAUGACGUCAAGUCAGCAUGGCCUUUAUGUCCGGGGCUACACACACGCUACAAUGGUCGGUACAAUGGGUAGCAAAGCCGCGAGGUAGAGCCAAUCCCGAAAGCCGGCCACAGUUCAGAUCGCAGGCUGCAACUCGCCUGCGUGAAGCCGGAGUUGCUAGUAACCGCGCGUCAGCCAUAGUGCGGUGAAUACGUUCCCGGGCCUUGUACACACCGCCCGU